rnacentral:rRNA from 1 species
GACGAACGCUGGCGGCAUGCCAAUACAUGCAAGUCGAGCGAACAGAUGAAGUGCUUGCACUUCUGACGUUAGCGGCGAACGGGUGAGUAACACGUAAGGAAUCUACCUAUAAGCGGGGGAUAACAUUCGGAGACGGGUGCUAAUACCGCAUAAUAUCUUCUUCCGCAUGGAAGAAGAUUGAAAGACGGCUCUGCUGUCACUUAUAGAUGACCUUGCGGUGCAUUAGUUAGUUGGUGGGGUAACGGCCUACCAAGACGAUGAUGCAUAGCCGACCUGAGAGGGUGAUCGGCCACAUUGGGACUGAGACACGGCCCAAACUCCUACGGGAGGCAGCAGUAGGGAAUCUUCCGCAAUGGGCGAAAGCCUGACGGAGCAAUGCCGCGUGAGUGAAGAAGGCCUUCGGGUCGUAAAACUCUGUUAUAAGAGAAGAACAAAUUGUAGAGUAACUGCUACAGUCUUGACGGUAUCUUAUCAGAAAGCCACGGCUAACUACGUGCCAGCCGCCGCAGUAA